rnacentral:rRNA from 1 species
GACAACGCUGGCGGCGUGCCUAAUACAUGCAAGUCGAGCGGAACUUUAGAAAGCUUGCUUUCAAGUUUAGCGGCGGACGGGUGAGUAACACGUGGGCAACCUACCUUGUAGAUUGGGAUAACUCCGGGAAACCGGGGCUAAUACCGAAUAAUCCAUUUCGCUUCAUGGCGAGAUGUUGAAAGACGGUUUCGGCUGUCACUACAAGAUGGGCCCGCGGCGCAUUAGCUAGUUGGUAGGGUAAUGGCCUACCAAGGCGACGAUGCGUAGCCGACCUGAGAGGGUGAUCGGCCACACUGGGACUGAGACACGGCCCAGACUCCUACGGGAGGCAGCAGUAGGGAAUCUUCCACAAUGGACGAAAGUCUGAUGGAGCAACGCCGCGUGAGUGAAGAAGGUUUUCGGAUCGUAAAACUCUGUUGUAAGGGAAGAACACGUACGAGAGUAACUGCUCGUACCUUGACGGGUACCUUAUUAGAAAGCCACGGCUAACUACGUG